rnacentral:rRNA from 1 species
ACUUUGCAUACACGAAAGUGUGACAGGGCUAUCCCGAGUGCCAUCCGCUGAGGAAGGCUUUUACCCAGUCUAGAACGCUGGGGGAAUAAGGAGAGGGCAAGUCUGGUGUCAGCCGCCGCGGUAAUACCAGCUCUCCGAGUGGUGUGGAUGUUUAUUGGGCCUAAAGCAUCCGUAGCUGGCUAAGUUAGUCCCUUGUUAAAUCCACCGAAUUAAUCGUUGGAUUGCGGGGGAUACUGCUUGGCUAGGGGACGAGAGAGGCAGACGGUAUUUCCGGGGUAGGGGUGAAAUCCUAUAAUCCCGGGAAGACCACCAGUGGCGAAGGCUGUCUGCUAGAACGCGCCCGACGGUGAGGGAUGAAAGCUGGGGGAGCGAACCGGAUUAGAUACCCGGGUAGUCCCAGCUGUAAACGAUGCAAACUAGGUGUUUGAACGGCCACGUGCCGUUCUAGUGCCGCAGGGAAGCUGUUAAGUUUGCCGCCUGGGGAGUACGAUCGCAAGAUUGAAACUUAAAGGAAUUGG